AGUGAACGCUGGCGGUAGGCCUAACACAUGCAAGUCGAACGGCAGCACAGUAAGGGCUUGCUCUUACGGGUGGCGAGUGGCGGACGGGUGAGGAAUACAUCGGAAUCUACUUUUUCGUGGGGGAUAACGUAGGGAAACUUACGCUAAUACCGCAUACGACCUACGGGUGAAAGCAGGGGAUCGUCGGACCUUGCGCGAUUGAAUGAGCCGAUGUCGGAUUAGCUAGUUGGCGGGGUAAAGGCCCACCAAGGCGACGAUCCGUAGCUGGUCUGAGAGGAUGGUCGGCCACACGGGAACUGGGACACGGACCAGAGUCCUACGGGAGGGCGCAGUGGGGAAUAUUGGACAACGGGCGCAAGUCUGACCCAGCGAUCCCGCGUGGGUGGAGAAGGCCUUCGGGUUGUAAAGCCGUUUUGUUGGGAAAGAAAAGCAGCAGGUUAAUACCCCGCUGUUCUGACGGUACCCAAUGAAUAAGCACCGGCUAACUUCGUG
rnacentral:rRNA from 1 species